GGUCAGCAUACAGUAUGUAGGCUGCUAUAAAUCAAAUCUUAAACCCUCUAUUGUUGCCUGGAUUUAUGGACUUCAAGCUGCCCCAUGGCAACGACAAACAAGCCCUUGACAAAGAAACUCCUGCAGCAUGGAAACACAGAGAGAGAGGUCCAGAAAACAAGGCGCACAUUAACGUUACAUUACAAAGUGCCUGGAAAUAUGUCACACAUACUGAUAUCUGGCACUCCCUGACUAAGGACGUGGUGGAGGAGAGCAUUCCCUGCAGGACACAGGAAAGGAAGAGGCCGUCCACAGCCAGGCAACACAGGCAUGAAUACUCCAGGUUUGGUCUGAAGCCUCUGGAAGGAAGACAGAGCCCAGGGGACUUCCUUUGGGUUGGAGCGCAUGUUGGGACCAGAGUGCACCACAGUCCUAUGCAAAGACAAUGGCCAAGUGAGAACACUGAGGGGUGAAGGAUGAUUGAUAGACUGAUAGUAUAUAAUUGAUCCAAGACUACAUUAUUUGCCCUUUAUCACAUAAUUAAUCUAAACAAUACAUUUCCUACAAGUCUCUCUAUAUGUUAGUACUUGUAUGUUAGCAUUGAAUGUGCUGUAUACAUAACAUGUGAUGAUCUGCAUACUCUGUUGGGUGGCUAGGCCAUAGCAUGGUACACACCUGCACGCUGUACUGGGGUAAAGCCACACCAGGCCUGGGCUGAGCAUCAUGAAAAAGUGGAGAGCUGCAGAGAGGACACUUUGUCCUGUGAAGAGGCAAGCAUCCCUGCUACAGAGAUCAAAUGCCCUGACAAAAAACCCUUUCUUCUGAUUAAAAGGUCAUUUCAGUAUUCAAAUGAAACAUUCAAGUCAUGCUCUGUUGAGGUACCAUUAGAACGAGAAUUGAUUGAAGCAUCACAUAAAGUGAUACUAUUUCUUUAAUGCUAGUGGUUUGAUUUUCCUACAGGAAGAAGCAUGCGUUUAGGGUGUGCCACAGUCCGUGGACCCAGAACCCUGA
rnacentral:lncRNA from 1 species